rnacentral:rRNA from 1 species
GACGAACGCUGGCGGCGUGCCUAAUACAUGCAAGUAGAACGAGGUGCGAACGGGUGAGUAACGCGUAGGUAACUGCCUCAUAGCGGGGGAUAACUAUUGGAAACGAUAGAUAAUACCGCAUAGUGUGAGAUUGACAUGCGUUGUGUGAGCUAGUUGGUGAGGUAAAGGCUCACCAAGGCGACGAUACAUAGCCGAUCUGAGAGGGAGGUCGGGGACACUGUGACAGAGACAGGGCCCAGACUCCUACGGGAGGCAGCAGUAGGGAAUCUGAGGCAAGGGACGGAAGUGGGACCGAGCAACGCGGCGGGAGUGCAGAAGGUUUUCGGAUCGUAAGGCUCUGUUGUUAGAGAAGCGGUAACUAACCAGAAAGGGACGGCUAACUCCGUGCCAGCAGCCGCGGUAAUAC